CCUACGGGUGGCAGCAGUGAGGAAUAUUGGUCAAUGGACGAGAGCCUGAACCAGCCAAGUAGCGUGAAGGAUGACUGCCCUACGGGUUGUAAACUUCUUUUAUAUGGGAAUAAAAUGAUGCACGUGUGCCUUUUUGUAUGUACCUUAUGAAUAAGGAUCGGCUAACUCCGUGCCAGCAGCCGCGGUAAUACGGAGGAUCCGAGCGUUAUCCGGAUUUAUUGGGUUUAAAGGGAGCGUAGGGGGAUUGUUAAGUCAGGGGUGAAAGGUCGGGGCUCAACCCUGGACUGGCAGUUGAAACUGGCAGUCUUGAGUUGUGGAGAGGUAGGCGGAAUUCGUGGUGUAGCGGUGAAAUGCUUAGAUAUGACGAAGAACUCCGAUUGCGAAGGCAGCUUACUGGAGUGGAACUGACGCUGAGGCUCGAAAGCGUGGGUAUCGAACAGGAUUAGAUACCCUUGUAGUC
rnacentral:rRNA from 1 species